UUAAUUUUUUUAAAAAUAAAUGUGGUAAUGUUUAAUUAAAUAAAGGAUAAACUUCAAAUAUCAUUCCCGUGGUUUGGCACUUUCUUACUUUAAUAUCCAAUGGUUUAAAAUAUAUCAAUUGAAUACCUUGUGGUUUCUUUUUUUCUAUUCGUCCGCCCCUUCGUUAAUUUUUCGUUAAAUCACAUACAAAAAAUUCUAGAUACUCCACCAUAGUUUAUCGAAUAUUUACUUUAAUACUUUUUAGUUUUAACUUUAUUACUAAUUUAACGAAAAAAAUUAGAGAAAAUAAUAAUAAAAAAAAAUAAAACUAAUGUACGAAAGUAAUAUAUUUUAAAUCACAUGAUACUAAAGUGAAAAAGUAAUGCACUUUAAAGCACAGGUACUGAAGUGAGAAAGUGUAAAACAAUAAGGAUGGUAUUUAAAGUUUUCCCUUAAAUAAAGUAAAGAAAAUAUUUAAACCAUCAAUCAUUCCAUCAAAUUUUAUCGCUUUAAUCACUUUUUCACAAAUCAAACAUAAAUAAUUUAAAACUAGUGAAUAAUACUAGUCAUUAAAAUUUGACAACAUUUUUGAAUUUUGAUUAACCAGAAAAACCCAGAUCGAAACAACUAGGAAGUUGAGAGGUUUUCACUACAAUUUUUUUUUCUAAAAGAAAAAAACUUUUAAUAAUGGCUUAGAUAGAUCACAGAGAAACCAUCAGAGCUAUCCCCAGAACAAAAGCAAAAGCAAAAACGAAAACAAAAAUAUGCUCACUAACAAAACAGGGAUUAAUAUAGAGAAUUGAGAGUCUAUACUCCUACAUACACCAUGACUUGAUUUUCCAGAGGAUGAACCCACACUAGUACAACAGAAAUAGAGAGACACCGGUAAAAGGAAAGGAAGCGAUUCGGCACACUCCCGACCAUAACGAAAAGUAAACCACCCCCUAACCCUACUGCGCGCGCUUAUACCAUCAAACAGCUCAAGCAAGGGUAGAAGUUAUUGUGGUCGCAGUAGUGGCAGCGGUGGUGGUGGUGGUGGCGGUCGGAGGCCUUACCAGGACGGCCGUCUUGCCUGUCACCGGCUGGGAGGCGGCGGCUGCCUCCAGAAGCUCCCAAUCCAACCUCCGCUUCUCCUCCAACGCCGCCCGCUGCUCUUCCUCCUCCUCAAGCUUCUUCUGGCAAGCGGUGAAGAGCCCCUCGUCCAUCUCGGAAAGCAUCUUUCUCACGUUUAGGGUUAGGUUCAGGAUGGAAUGGUUCCAGUGGUGUCGGGUGUUCCUUUCUAGGCCUGGGAGGAUGAUGGGCAUUAUCAUUUGCCGGUUUUGGGCGACCAAGCUCAUGAUGUGAUCGUUGUUCCACAAGAAGAGGGCCCGUUCGGCAACCUGAGAUCAGGUUUUCCUUUAAUGUUAGAAGAAACUAGCGUCGACGAAAUAUAUUGGAUUAGCUGAUAGGCUGAUUGUAAGAUACAAGGUUCUUAAAAUAUAAUUACAUUAGGAAUAAUAUGUCGAAUGAAAGAUUUUAGAAUAGAUGACAAUGCUGUUUGCAAAUGCUUCCUCUACCACAGCUACUUCAAAUGUUUUAUAGCUCCAGAAAAAUAAUGAAGUACUCGGAUCUCCGCUCCUUGUAACAGAUCACAACUUAAAAGGGCAAAGGGGCCUUGCAUUUAAGGAGGCAUCCCAUUGAGUGCUUCCCGUCGCCCUUCUGUUGCAAUCUGGCACACAUAGAAAUUGGAAGCCUAAAGCACUUUCGAAAUUUUUUGGAGAUGAAAUACACAAGAAGAUCUCCAUGUGGCAGCAUGUAAAGCCUAUGCAGUAAGGUUAGAAACUUACAAUGCAAGACACAGAUCCAAGCAACUUUGUGAAGAACAUGAGGGUAUAAACCAAAACAUAGUUGCCUCAGGUAGUGUAAACUAAAUGAAUGUUUAGCUUUACAUAUUUCUAUUGUGUUUCAAGUAUACUUGUUUUAGUCAUGAUGGUGUCUGUGAUACAAUUCAAAUGAAAAAGCUUGUUGAUCAUAAUUCAUAGUCGUUUGGCCAUUAGUAGAUAUGAUGCAUACUAAAUUUGAACACAUUUUGAACUCAAACCAAAAUCUACAAAGGCAGCAACAACCACAUAACUGUAAUACCGUGCAACUUGAAAGCAAUUAUAACAAUUCACCUUAGACACCUUUUAGAACUUUGAUAUCUUAAACAUAAAUAGACAAAAUGUAGUAUUGCAUAUCAUAGUAUAUCACUGUUACAACAUAGAGUACCGGUUCGACUAAACAAGGACAUCAUAUGAUAAAUAGAAAAGAAUAUCAUGAUAAGAAAUGUGGUAGUAUUUUAUAACGAUUCCAAAUGCUGGACACAUCACAAAAUGUACUAUUCAAUCUCCUUCUACCAACUUGUACCUAAUGGAGAAUUGGAGAUUUAAUACUGUGCAUAAAUUAGACAGCAGGACUUUGGUAUAGCAGUAAUAUUGCUCUGCACCAAAGUAAACAUCAUGAGUUUGAAUCACCAUGCAGAGGAAAGGCUGCAUAAAUUUCAGGAUAGUGAUAGGACUGCCUAUUCGGCGAGCAGAAUAUGAUUGUGGAUUCAGCAGGCUUGCUGAUUUAGCAAGCAGAAUAGGCUCACUGAAUCAACAUGAACGAUGGGAUAGGGUUGGCCCCACCUUACACCUAGGAUGAGACCCUCCCAUCCAACAAUCCAAGCUAAUUCGGCGAGCCUAUUCUGCUUACUAAAUCAGCAGGCCUAUUCGACUUGCCAGAUCAGCCAAAAAAAAAAAAGGAAAAAAGAAAAUCUCUAAAUUUCGCCUUCCUAAAACCCUUCUAUGAUCGAUCUCAUGCACAAGGCUGCCCAGGUUAUACAAUUUCUAUGUUUUUAUACCAUAAACUCAAAAUAAUUUGUCUGCUUCCUAUCACAACUAAUAAGUCUUCAAGAAUCCUUCUUUCAAAAUCCUAUGGUUAUGACCGCUUCUUUCGGACUUGAAAAAACAAAGUACAGAAAACCACCUGAAGUACCAGUUAUGCGGUGUUUGAUGAAACUUCAACGCCUCUAUCUCACAAACUACUUUUAGAGUCUAUUAUUCAGAAUCUAAUGACUGAUGAACCAACUCUCUCAAUCUACAACAUCCACCGCAUCUCUCAAUGACCUCCAUGAUAAUGGAAUUUAAUCAAAUUUUCUUCUUUGCAUACAAGAGAGCCAAAAAUGAUCAUCAAGUUUUCAGUCCUCCAAGAGAAUCAGCUUUAAUCUCUUUUAAAUUUGUGCAAGUUUCCACGCUUUUGUGAAAACUGGCACCCUCUCCUAUGUGGUGUGGUACAGCACGUAAAACAUGUGCACCACCGUGAAAACCUGUUUAUUAUUCACAACUGCCAAUUUAAUCCUCCUGCCACUUAAGAGCAGUUCAUCCUAGGAUACAACAAUAACAAAUUUUGCAAAAGAAAAUAGGUAAUCCUCUUUUCCAAAUAAAAGAAUCUGAUAUUCUAUAUUUGUAGUAACUUAUCUCUGUUUUGUCAUGAUACAGAAUAUAGAGAGCCCAAAUAUCUUUAAUUAUCAAGGACGCCAUUUUUGAAGAUCCAUACUGACAUAUACACAAUUUAGAAUAUAUAGAGACUAAAACCCUAGAAGCUCUUGUACCUUGAAAGGAGAUAGUUUUCAAAGGCUAACAAGAUGCUUGCGAAAUCAGUCUCAAAAGCUCCUAGUUUCAUCUUCACACAUAGAUAAAUGUUCUCAAGUGAUUAGGACAAGACUAAUAAAUGCGAUUUUUCAGCGGCAUCAAGUGCAAUAAUUUUAUAGGCUUGUUCAUGCAUCAUUGUCCACUUGAAUAUUCAGAAAUUAUAAAUUGGGUUUCCAAAAACUUCAAAUAGUUUAGAUUGCAUCCAUAUGCAUGGAUUUUCAACAAAAAAUUCUAUAGCACAAUUUAGGAUAGGUAAGUAUCCAGUUACAUGUUACGGCCAUAACAAAGUUUGGGGAACAUGAAACUUUGGUAAAACAUUUUUGAGUACAGACUAACAUCACUAACGCAUCGACCAAUUAUCAGUUCAUAAGAAUCCAGAAUGUAGGAUAGAGUAAAAUAUUUAGGAAAAAAAUCAUUGCAUGCAUAGGUUUUUCAUCUAACUAGAAAAAAUAAUAUCUAAACUGUUAACUCCAAGAAAUGUAUUAUCUAAGCCCCUGCAUUCAAGAAGUGAAGUUUACAACUGUGCGCACUCAGUUAAGGGGGCUGUCAGGAACAAAUGUAUGUGGUUGUAGGAGGCAUUUAUAACAAUCAGGGAAGGCAAAACCAAAGCGUGAAUAAGAAAGAAAUUAUAGAAAACAAGAAUAUUGUACAGCAACUAAAAACAUAAUUUUAUCAUAACCAACAAGAGAAAAUCAUGCUACUCAAUGAGCUCCAAGAAAAUAAAAGAUUCAAUCAGGGCCAUUUGGAUUACCUGGAAGUGGGAACUGUUAAUACAGUAAGAUAAGCGACGGAACAACGGGACCAUGCAUUUCUGGAAUUCAACCACAUUAGUAGCUUCCAAGACCUCCUCCAACUCACUCAAAAACAUUACUUCCUUCUGGCUAUUCGUCACUGGCCAAUAUUUCAAUAACCCUGCAAUUACUGAACUGGCAAGCUUCGGCUCUUUCUCUAAAAACUGCAUCACGCAGUAAGUCAACUGUUGCAAAUACGAACCAACUGUUCUUGGCUUGUGCAACGGAAUUAGCGCCCUCGACAGGAAAAUCUUAUGCUCCUCCUUAAGAGGCAACGCAAACCCACUAAUCACGCUCCCCAAAACCUCUAGCAACUCUGCAAUCCCAUUGUGGCGAUCCGUCUCAAACACAAACCGGUAGAAAAUAUUACUGACAGAUUUUCGGACGAAAGGGCGGUGGACCAUGAAUUUCCCAUAGAUCCUAUGCAAGAUUGUUUUCAAGCAAUCCCUCUCCCUUGGAUCCUCAGAAUCAAAGAGGUCAAGCAAUCUCAAGAUGAAUGAGUGGUCAAAGUACUUCUUUCCUACCUUCGCAUCGAGGGCAGAGGAUCCGAUAAACUUUAGAAGUAAGUCAUAAACAAGUUGCAAGUGAGGCCAAGCAGGAUCAAACAUUGGCUCCUCCUCCUCAGCCUCCCCGCCACCUCCGCCACCUCCGGAUGAGUUAGAUCGAUAAUUGGGGGGAAAGACUCGAAACAGAUUAACGGCAAACAUCUUGCAACUUGAAGCAAUCAUCUGCUCAGUAAAACGAGCAUUAGCAGAGUUUACAUACUCGAUAAGCUCUAAAAGGGUCUGCCUUUUGAUGUCCUUCUCAGCCGAAUUCUUGUUUGGGUCGGAGAAAUCGAAAACGAUGCAGCAGAGGUUCAACUUGCUGACAAAAAGGUUCGGCUUCUCUCCAUUGGGGACAUCUUUGAAUGAGACAAGUGGUUCAAUUCCUGCGACGACACUGGACGGGAAAACAGCAGAGGACAUCCGCUUCACGGUAGCGGAUCGUGUUGGAGCUGCAGUGCUGCUGCUCGUGCGCUGGAUUGGGAUCCCAGAAGCGGCGGCCCCAUUGCCGGGAUUGCUUUGGCCGGAACCCGACAGGGUGCCAGAUUUCGAGGACGACGCAGACGAAGACUUACGUGGCAGCUUGUUGAAGAAUUGCUUCAACAUGGUGCCAGAUUUGGAAUAAAAACCCUCAAAGAAACAACUUGAACCCAGAAAACUUUAGCAUUUCGGAUUUAGGUGCCAAGAACAAUGCUUCUGACGUUAGAUUGAUUCACAUCCAAGGGAGAAAAGAAACAGAUAACAUAAAUAGGAACCCUAUUCAAAGAUUAAAGCUUAACUUAGCUGGGAUUCAACACAACAUCACAAUGCACCUAGAUCUCCACCAUGAGAGAGCAAAACAAAGAGAAACCCUAAAAUCUACGCCACUACACCACCACGGCAAAGAUUCAAAGGACAAGAUGCUCUAAGCUUACCUCUUGAAGAAGAUCAGCACAAUGAAACCCUAAUUCCACACCAAUCAAAGCACAAACACACUGAAUCGUGUGGAUCUUGGAUCGCAGCAGAGAAAUCCACACAAACCCUAAUUUUUUGAACAAUGACGGAUCUAGAGCAUCAAGGAUCGAAAUUUACGGAUCUGAGGGUGAAAGCUCGAUGCGAAGCACGGAUUCGCACGGCGAUCGGGUCCAUUGGAGAGCCCUGGGAUCGAUCAUGCGAGGUGUAUCGUAGGGUGGAAUCGGAGAUCUCACGAAGUAGAGAGAGAGAGAGAGGGAAAGAGAGAGAGAGAAAUCGCUUUCGCCAAAUUCCACUUACUUCGUACUCGCUCCGAAUUUCAAAUUAAAUUAAAUAAAAAAUAGGUAGAAAUGAAUAGAGACCCCUCAACUAUUCAAAUUAAAUUAAUAAAAAAUUGGUAGAAAUGAAUAGAGACCCCUCAACUAUAGGCUUUUUAUACAUACGACUCCAGCUAAUUUUUCAAAAGCAGGGAUAAUUAACUAUAUACCCCUCAAUAAUUUUAAAAUAUCUUAUAUACUCCUUUUUUUUAUUUUAAAUAUAUCCUUAGUAUAUUUCUCUUUAUUCAAAAAUAAUCUCGAUGUUAGUACUUAUUAAGUCAUUUCGAGUUGAAGUCAAGUUACAUUUCUACCAGAAUUAUAAUGGAGUUAAAAUAUCUCUUUUGCUCUUAAUUUACUAAUAUAUUUUCUUAAUAGAUAAUUAUUCCUUUUAAAGCACAAUUGCUUUCAUACCUCUGAAGAAGUUUGAGACUUUUUAUUUACCUUGCUUAUAAGUCUAAUAUGAAAAAUGCCCUUUAACGUUUCAAGUUCUUUCAAAUAUAUCUUUAGAAUUAGAUUCUCAUAGUACUUUAUAUGUAACUAUAUAUGUAGUUGUGAAGUUGUAAUAUUGUGAUUAGCUAAAUGUAAAAGUGUUGAAUUGUUGAUUUAAUCAUAGUAACAUGUUUUUUAGCUAUGACUGUAUUUUAAUAAACUUGCAGAAGAAAAAGAUCGUUGAAAGAUAACCGUUGGAAGGUAAAUAAUAAAAAUAAUUAAUAUUUUAAGAACAAAUAAGAAAAGUUGGUAACAAUAAAAGAGUAUAUUUGAAUUGGCAAAAUAGUAAUUUUACAGAUAAAACGAUUAUUUUUAAUAAUUUACUAACAGAAUCUAACUAUAGGGUUACAUUUGAAAAAAAGUCAAACAUUAAAAGAGUAUUUUUCAUAUUAGCCUUCUAAAUGGAGCAAAUAAAAGAAUCUGAAAUUUUUCAAGAAUAUAUAAGUAAUUGCCCUUUAAAGUUUUUGAUA
rnacentral:lncRNA from 1 species